rnacentral:rRNA from 1 species
UAAGACAGAGGGGGCAAGCGUUGUCCGGAUUGACUGGGCGUACAGCGCGCGCAGGCGGCAGCGUAUGUGCUCGGUGACAGCCCACGGCUCAACCGUGGGUCGCCCGAGUACACAGCGCUACUGGAGGCAGGGAGAGGGUCGUGGAAUGCCCGGUGGAGCGGUGAAAUGCGUAGAGAUCGGGCGGAACACCAGCGGCGAAGGCGGCGACCUGGCCCUGACCUGACGCUGAGGCGCGAGAGCGUGGGGAGCGAACGGGAUUAGAUACCCCGGUAGUCCACGCCGUAAACGAUGUGGAGCCGGUGUUGGGGGGUGAUUGCGCCCCGCAGUGCCCAAGCUUACGCGAUGACUCCACCGCCUGGGAACUACGGCCGCAAGGCUA